rnacentral:rRNA from 1 species
UACGGAGGGGGCUAGCGUUGUUCGGAAUUACUGGGCGUAAAGCGCGCGUAGGCGGACCUGCAAGUCGGGGGUGAAAGCCCGAGGCUCAACCUCGGAACUGCCUUCGAUACUGCGGGUCUCGAGUCCGGGAGAGGUGAGUGGAAUUCCUAGUGUAGUGGUGAAAUUCGUAGAUAUUAGGAAGAACACCAGUGGCGAAGGCGGCUCACUGGCCCGGUACUGACGCUGAGAUACGAAAGCGUGGGGAGCAAACAGG